AGCUUGCUUUGGUGGAUUAGUGGCGAACGGGUGAGUAACACGUGAGUAACCUGCCCCUGACUCUGGGAUAAGCCUGGGAAACUGGGUCUAAUACCGGAUAUGACUGCGGAACGCAUGUUCUGUGGUGGAAAGAUUUAUCGGUUGGGGAUGGACUCGCGGCCUAUCAGCUUGUUGGUGAGGUAAUGGCUCACCAAGGCGACGACGGGUAGCCGGCCUGAGAGGGUGACCGGCCACACUGGGACUGAGACACGGCCCAGACUCCUACGGGAGGCAGCAGUGGGGAAUAUUGCACAAUGGGCGAAAGCCUGAUGCAGCGACGCCGCGUGAGGGAUGACGGCCUUCGGGUUGUAAACCUCUUUCAGUAGGGAAGAAGCGAGAGUGACGGUACCUGCAGAAGAAGCGCCGGCUAACUACGUGCCAGCAGCCGCGGUAAUACGUAGGGCGCAAGCGUUAUCCGGAUUUAUUGGGCGUAAAGAGCUCGUAGGCGGUUUGUCGCGUCUGCCGUGAAAGUCCGAGGCUCAACCUCGGAUCUGCGGUGGGUACGGGCAGACUAGAGUGAUGUAGGGGAGACUGGAAUUCCUGGUGUAGCGGUGAAAUGCGCAGAUAUCAGGAGGAACACCGAUGGCGAAGGCAGGUCUCUGGGCAUUUACUGACGCUGAGGAGCGAAAGCAUGGGGAGCGAACAGGAUUAGAUACCCUGGUAGUCCAUGCCGUAAACGUUGGGCACUAGGUGUGGGGGACAUUCCACGUUUUCCGCGCCGUAGCUAACGCAUUAAGUGCCCCGCCUGGGGAGUACGGCCGCAAGGCUAAAACUCAAAGGAAUUGACGGGGGCCCGCACAAGCGGCGGAGCAUGCGGAUUAAUUCGAUGCAACGCGAAGAACCUUACCAAGGCUUGACAUGUUCCAGACCGGGCUAGAGAUAGUCCUUCCCUUCGGGGCUGGUUCACAGGUGGUGCAUGGUUGUCGUCAGCUCGUGUCGUGAGAUGUUGGGUUAAGUCCCGCAACGAGCGCAACCCUCGUUCCAUGUUGCCAGCACGUAGUGGUGGGGACUCAUGGGAGACUGCCGGGGUCAACUCGGAGGAAGGUGGGGAUGACGUCAAAUCAUCAUGCCCCUUAUGUCUUGGGCUUCACGCAUGCUACAAUGGCCGGUACAAUGGGUUGCGAUACUGUGAGGUGGAGCUAAUCCCUAAAAGCCGGUCUCAGUUCGGAUUGGGGUCUGCAACUCGACCCCAUGAAGUCGGAGUCGCUAGUAAUCGCAGAUCAGCAACG
rnacentral:rRNA from 1 species